UACGUAGGUGGUAAGCGUUGUCCGGAUUUACUGGGCGUAAAGAGCGCGUAGGCGGCGUGUCAAGUCAGGCGUGAAAGCCCCGGGCUCAACCUGGGAACCGCGCUUGAGACUGGCAUGCUCGAGUUCGGGAGAGGAUGGUGGAAUUCCCAGUGUAGAGGUGAAAUUCGUAGAUAUUGGGAAGAACACCGAUGGCGAAGGCAGCCAUCUGGACCGACACUGACGCUGAGGCGCGAAAGCGUGGGGAGCAAACAGG
rnacentral:rRNA from 1 species